rnacentral:sRNA from 1 species
CUAGCAAGCCACCCUCUCCAAAGCAGAAUGUGAGGAAGAAUCUUGACUUUGAACCACUUUCCACCACCGCACUCAUCCUCGAGGACAGACCAGCAAAUCUCCCAGCAAAACCAGCUGAAGAAGCUCAGAAGCACAGACAGCAGUAUGAAGAAAUGGUGGUUCAGGCCAAAAAGCGAGAGCUGAAAGAAGCCCAGCGAAGGAAGAAGCAGCUGGAAGAAAGAUGCAGAGUCGAGGAAAGCAUUGGAAACGCUGUGCUCACCUGGAAUAAUGAGAUCUUACCUAACUGGGAAACAAUGUGGUGCUCUAGAAAAGUUCGAGAUUUAUGGUGGCAGGGAAUCCCUCCAAGUGUGAGAGGCAAAGUCUGGAGCUUAGCCAUUGGCAACGAGUUAAAUAUCACCCACGGUGAGUGGCCUGCAUGAUCCUGGGGAGUCCACCUCCAGGCCCUAUGGCUUCUUCUCUCCCUUUUGCCCUGUUGGAAAGAAUGGCAGCCAUUGCCACGAAUCUGUGUCUUUUGAGAGACCAGGAGACUGUGUCCUUCAGGAGAGAGGGGCAGUUGGGAGGCCUGGGUUUAGUGCUGUGCACUCCGGUUACCUGACAGCUCAGCGCAGGAGCUCUUGAAUAGAGGGG